rnacentral:tRNA from 4 species
GCCAGAGUGGCGGAAUUGGCAGACGCGCUGGAUUCAAAAUCCAGUGGCCGCAAGGUCGUGGGGGUUCGAUUCCCCCCUCUGGUA